GUGAUAUUCUACCAAAUAGAGCCUUGAAUACGUGGGAGGCAAUGAAAGGAAAUGGAAAUGAAAACCAUGAUCACCUCAGUUUCGAGCCCCUAAGCCUCAGUGGACUUUAUUAUCAAGAUUCAAUAACAGUUACGACCAAAGGUCAGCAGAUGGAGCUGGUGAAGAUCCUAACUAUUUUCACGUCCAUUGACUUCUCUGACAAUCAUUUUGUAGGACCAAUACCAGACGUUAUUGGCCAAUUCAGUGCGCUCUAUACUCUCAACUUGUCACACAAUGCUCUCACUGGCCGAAUUCCGCCAUUUUUAGGCAAAUUGGCACAACUUGAGUCCUUAGACCUCUCAGUUAAUCAGUUGAAUGGAACAAUUCCUCAGGAGCUUGUAGCCCUAACAUUCCUUUCAUUUUUGAACCUCUCAAACAAUCAAUUAGUUGGAAGCAUCCCAACAGGUAAUCAAUUCCUGACAUUUGAGAGCACUUCAUUCAGAG
rnacentral:misc_RNA from 1 species